AUGGGUGCUUAUGAAAUUGAAUCUAUGUUCAAAGAAUAUGAAAAUCUUUAUGAUGCUGUUUACAGACCUGAAAAUUUAGCUAUCCUUAUAUAUUGUUAUGAGAAUUAUGAAUACAAUUCCAAUAUUGAUGCGUUUAUUGAGAAAGUCUCCGCUGUCCCAGAAGAGACUAAUAUUUUGCAGGAAUCUAUGGAAGAAGAAAUUGAUGAAACUAUGAGCUCAUUGGAUGAAAAAGAUGAGGAGGAGAGCGAAGAACAAAAGGAGGAAGAGUGGAUUGAUCACCCGUGCCCACCUUCUAAUGAGAGUAACUCUUCAACUCAUACAUUGUUUAAUUUCCCUUCAUGA
rnacentral:rRNA from 1 species